CUUCAGUCAGUUGUUAUGGGAAGGUAUCAGGCUCUCAUGCAGCUCUUCUCAUCCUAAUUCUUCUGCUACAUUUCAUGUCUUUUAGAGGUAUCGUUGUUUUACCCUACUUCCAGUCAUCCAUUAAACAAAGUGAACUGGGUAUGUGCUUCAGCGUGGUGAUUGGUAAAGAAGUUAUCUGUCUAUCAACUUAAGCAAGGCACAAUGGGGUGGCAGAACAAUCCAUUCAUCAAUUCUUGGUUCAAAAUGGGCAUUGAAUACAAAUAAUCGGGUGAAGGUGAGGUGUGUGCACGGGGAUAUUUAAGAUUAUCCUGCAGUGACCGUCACUAUUCUAUUUCGACGUCAAAAGAAUAACAUUGAGGCUGUGGUUAGUUCCCGCCUCACCCAUCAACUAAUUUUAGGUACUAAUUGGCCGGCUUUUCCUGACUUGUUAAAGGGGUUGUGUGUGGAUGGGUCAUGUAAUACAGUGGGACAGUGUGGUGUGUGCAAUGCACCGGGCCCAUCUACGUCAUCUCUGCGUCAGGAUGACGUAAGGGAGGGGGAAGCCUUGGCAUCGCUUUGUGUUGGUUCUGGUAGACUACACAACACAAUACCUGGAAACAGUGCCUCUUUGCAACAUCUCAGCAUGUAGUGUUGCUGAGGCACUCUUCAGAAUAAUCUCCUGAGUGGGGAUUCCAAAAGAAAUCCUCACUGAUCAGGGCACUACUUUCAUGUCAUGUACACGACACAAGCUGUACGAUUUAUUGGGUAUCAAAUCGAUUUGGACAAGCGUGUACCAUCCUCAAACAGAUGGCUUGGUCGAACGUUUUAAUUAGACCUUUAAAAAUAUGAUUCGUAAGUUUGUGCACGAAGAUGCUCGGAAUUGGGAUAAGUGGCUCGAACCCAUGUUAUCUGCAGUACGAGAGGUCCCACAAGCCUCCACUGGGUUUUUCCCAUUUGAAUUGUUAUAUGGGCGUGAGCCCCGUGGCAUGUUAGACGUCAUGAAGGAAAAUUGGGAGGAGGGACCUUCACAAAGCAAAAAUAAAAUUCAAUACGUUCUUGACCUGAGAGCAAAACUCCACACACUGGGGCGUCUAUCAUAGGAGAAUUUACUACAGGUGCAAGAACGUCAGUCCCGGCUGUAUACUGGGGAGCUCGGCUAUGGGAGUUUGCACAGGGAGAUAAAGUACUUGUAUUACUACCCACAUCGAGCCCAAAAUUACUCGUGAAGUGGCAAGGGCCCUUUGAGGUCACAUGGUGAGUUGGGGAAGUCGACUAUGAGUUAGUGCAUAUGGAUAGGUCUCAUCACAUUUACCACCUCAACCUACUAAAACCAUGGAGAGAGGCAGUCCCCGUAUCCUUGGUGAUGGUAGUUCCAGAGAGGGAGCUCAGUCUGGAGGUGAGUCUAAAAGCCAAUCAGUUCACUCCAGUCCCUUGUGGAGACCACCUCUCGCCGUCACAAUGUACAGAGGUUGCCAGAUUGCAAAAAAGUUUCUCUGACGUGUUCUCGCCUCUCCCCGGCUGCACUAAUCUCAUAGAACACCACAUUGAGACAACCCCAGGGGUAGUGGUAUGUAGUCGGCCCUAACGCUUACCUGAACACAAGAAACAGGUAGUACGGGAAGAAUUAAAGGCCAUGCUUGAUAUGGGAGUAAUAGAAUAAUCCCACAGUUAUUGGGCCAGCCCGGUGGUUCUGGUGCCUAAGAGCGAUGGCUUGGUCAGAUUCUGUGUAGAUUAUAGAAAAGUCAAUGCAGUGUCGUAUUGAAUGCAUAUCCAAUGCCUCAUAUUGACAAACUGCUCAAUCGGUUGGGUGCAGUCCUCUUUUACUCGACAAUGGAGUUAACAAAGGGCUAUUGGCAAAUCCCCUUAAUUCCGAUGUCCCAUGAGAAAACGGCCUUCUCCACACCAUUUGGAUUACACCAAUUUGUGACCCUUCCAUUCGGUUUGUCUGGGGCUCCGGCUACGUUUCAGCAUCUUAUGGACAGAGUCCUCAAACUGCACGCUGCGUAUGCCGCUGCUUAUUUGGAUGAAAUUAUUAUUUACAGUUAUGAUUGGCAGUGGCACAUGCAGCAUCAGGGGCGGUUCUGAGGUCACUGCGAUCAGUGGGGCUCACAGCAAACCCGAAGAAGUGCGCAAUUGGAUGGGUGGAGGUACGAUAUAUGGGGUUCCACUUGGGGCACGGGCAGGUGUGACCCCAAAUUGAUAAAACCGCAGCGAUUGUGAUCUGCCUGAGACCUAAGACUAAAAAAGGAGAUGAGACAUUUCUUGUGGCUGGCUGGCUAUUAUCGAAGGUUUGUGCCUAAUUAUUCGGAUGUCACCAGCCCGCUGACUGAUCUCACCAAAAAGGGAGCUCCAGACUCAAUCCAGUGGACAGAGCUGUGCCAACAGGCUUUCACACAGUGAGAGUCGUGGGAGAAAAAAGACAGCCCAGUCCACAGAAAGAGAGAGAGAAGAGUGACACACCAGAGACUGUGUAUUUGUGAUCAGAGACUUUUUAUGAUUAUUGCAGAAAAGCUUGACUUGGUUUCAAUUAAUGCUGAAAAGCAGUCUUUUGUUUGAUAUAUACUGGAAAGUGAUUUCUGUUUUAUUUUAAUAAAAUCUGACUCACCUGGAUCGUGGAAACCAGCUCCUGCUUCCUCCUGUAUCUGCCAGACAACGAACCUUUGUUACAGUUAUAUAAUAUAAACUAUUAUCUGUUUGACCCUUUCAACAGCAUGAUUGAAAUUUCAUUAAAGUUCUUAAGGCCACGUCCACACUUAUCGGUUUAAGUUUGAAAACUCCAUUUUCAGUGCCAUCCCUGUGUGGAUGAGAGCCAUUAACUUAGCGAAAUUAAUGCUUUUUUAAAUGUACAUGAAUAAGUGUUGACGUGGCCUUAAGUGUUUGUUUUUUAUGAACAAAAACAAUAACAGAAUGGAGAGACAAAAACAAAGAGAGAGAGAAGAGAGGGAAAAAGAACAAUAGCAAAAAGUGAAUGUGGUCUAGCGAAAUAAGCGUUAUAAGCUAACACACUCCAUUUCAAUUAAUACAAGUAAACACAGCAUAGUUGUAGUCAUAGGCUUAUUAUGAUGUCAGGAGGAGUAUUCAGUUCUCUAAGUAUUAAAAAAAAAUGGGGACCACAUAUCAUGUAUUGAUACAGUUAAUUUUUCCAGUG